GACAGAGGGUGCAAACGUUGUUCGGAAUUACUGGGCGUAAAGCGAGUGUAGGCGGUCUUAAAAGUCAGGUGUGAAAGCCCCGGGCUCAACCCGGGAAGUGCACUUGAAACUGCAAGGCUAGAGUACUGGAGAGGUUGGUGGAAUUCUCGGUGUAGAGGUGAAAUUCGUAGAUAUCGAGAGGAACACCGGUGGCGAAGGCGGCCAACUGGACAGAUACUGACGCUGAGA
rnacentral:rRNA from 1 species